rnacentral:rRNA from 1 species
CGCGUAGGCGGCCUGAUAAGUCUGGAGUGAAAGUCCUGCCUUCAAGGUGGGAAUUGCUUUGGAAACUGACAGGCUUGAGUGCAGGAGAGGUUAUCGGAAUUCCCGGUGUAGCGGUGAAAUGCGUAGAGAUCGGGAGGAACACCAGUGGCGAAGGCGGGUAACUGGACUGCAACUGACGCUGAGGCGCGAAAGUGUGGGGAGCAAACAG